UACGUAGGGACCAAGCGUUGUUCGGAUUUACUGGGCGUAAAGGGUGCGUAGGCGGCGCGGUAAGUCGGGUGUGAAAUCUCGGAGCUUAACUCCGAAACUGCAUUCGAUACUGCCGUGCUUGAGGACUGGAGAGGAGACUGGAAUUUACGGUGUAGCGGUGAAAUGCGUAGAUAUCGUAAGGAAGACCAGUGGCGAAGGCGGGUCUCUGGACAGUUCCUGACGCUGAGGCACGAAGGCCAGGGGAGCAAACUGG
rnacentral:rRNA from 1 species